GCUGGCGGCAGGCCUAACACAUGCAAGUCGAGCGGUAACAGAGAGAAGCUUGCUUCUUUGCUGACGAGCGGCGGACGGGUGAGUAACGCGUAGGAAUCUACCGAUUAGUGGGGGAUAGCCCAGGGAAACUUGGAUUAAUACCGCAUACGCCCUACGGGGGAAAGCGGGGGAUCUUCGGACCUCGCGCUAAUCGAUGAGCCUGCGUAAGAUUAGCUUGUUGGUGAGGUAAGAGCUCACCAAGGCGACGAUCUUUAGCUGGUCUGAGAGGAUGAUCAGCCACACUGGGACUGAGACACGGCCCAGACUCCUACGGGAGGCAGCAGUGGGGAAUAUUGGACAAUGGGGGCAACCCUGAUCCAGCCAUGCCGCGUGUGUGAAGAAGGCCUUCGGGUUGUAAAGCACUUUCAGAUGUGAGGAAAGGUGUGUGCUUAAUACGUACAGACUGUGACGUUAGCAUCAGAAGAAGGACCGGCUAACUCCGUGCCAGCAGCCGCGGUAAUACGGAGGGUCCGAGCGUUAAUCGGAAUUACUGGGCGUAAAGCGCGCGUA
rnacentral:rRNA from 1 species